rnacentral:rRNA from 2 species
AAUGGUGACUAUAGCGAGGGGGAUCACCUCUUCCCAUUCCGAACAGAGAAGUUAAGCCCCUCCACGCUGAUGGUACUGGGAUAAAACCUGGGAGAGUAGGUAGUCGCCUACU